AUUGAACGCUGGCGGCAGGCUUAACACAUGCAAGUCGAGCGGAGAUGAGGUGCUUGCACCUUAUCUUAGCGGCGGACGGGUGAGUAAUGCUUAGGAAUCUGCCUAUUAGUGGGGGACAACAUUCCGAAAGGAAUGCUAAUACCGCAUACGCCCUACGGGGGAAAGCAGGGGAUCUUCGGACCUUGCGCUAAUAGAUGAGCCUAAGUCGGAUUAGCUAGUUGGUGGGGUAAAGGCCUACCAGGGCGACGAUCUGUAGCGGGUCUGAGAGGAUGAUCCGCCACACUGGGACUGAGACACGGCCCAGACUCCUACGGGAGGCAGCAGUGGGGAAUAUUGGACAAUGGGCGGAAGCCUGAUCUAGCCAUGCCGCGUGUGUGAAGAAGGCCUUUUGGUUGUAAAGCACUUUAAGUGAGGAGGAGGCUACCUGGAUUAAUACUCUAGGAUAGUGGACGUUACUCGCAGAAUAAGCACCGGCUAACUCUGUGCCAGCCGCCGCAGUAAUAC
rnacentral:rRNA from 1 species